rnacentral:ncRNA from 1 species
GGCAGAUUCAAAAUUACCUGACAAUCAGGCGGGUCAUGAAAAAGGAACCACAGUAACGCUUGCCGCUCAGGCAGGAGCGAACAUAGUCUUUGAAUCA